rnacentral:lncRNA from 1 species
UGAGAGAGAGAAUGUGUAUAAUCUUUGUUCGAAGGUUAUAGUGGAUUGUCUUUUCCAGGCCCUAGAGACGUAACCACUUUAUGCGAAUUUCGGAUAAACAAUUGUUUGUGUCUUUAUCUUCUACUUUCUUUCCGCGUUCCUCUUCUAUUGUUCUCAAUUCUAAGAAUUUAUAUUCUCUAACCUACGUCAACAAGUUCGCGAGUUUGUGUGUUUGAUUCUUGUUCUAGGUCAAACUAUAUCAGUCAUCGAGACACAGAAAAAGUGGUAUAAGAUCUCUAAGUUGUGUCAACUUCAAUGAUGAAUGCAAGAAUCGAAAUCGAUCAAUUUGAUGAGAAGGGAGACUUAUCUUUGUGGAAGAAGAGGAUGCUAGUGCUUCU